UGUGUUCACUACUGUAAGUCGCUCUGGAUAAGAGCGUCUGCUAAAAAUGACUAAAA
rfam:Salmo salar isolate Sally breed double haploid chromosome ssa10, whole genome shotgun sequence.